rnacentral:lncRNA from 1 species
GCAAUGAUAAGGAUUCAACUUUUAAAGAUAGCAUCAUACAAUGAGCACUUGAAUAGAUACGAUUUAACAGGAUCCUGAAUGACCGUUAAUUACCAUCUAAUUAACCUCCAUGUUCAAUCUGAUACUACUUUAGUCUAUCGCCCGGUUCAAUAGAACAAAGACAAGCUCGGUACAGCAAACCAUUUCGCCAUGACCUUCCUGUUCCAAAUGUUCGUAUCUUUUGCUGUUGUCUUUGCUGUUGUCAGUGGAAAAGGAACGGCAAAAGGAAAAUUUGAGUACAAAAAUGCUCAGUGCAAGUGGCACGAGAAAAGAGAAACCCGAUCCAUGCGCUCCCUCAAUAUUGAAUGUGGCGGAAAUAAUGCAUUUAAAACAUCCUAUGAAGGGGAUCCACACAAGUGCAACUGGUACCUUAAGGGCAACCAGGUUCAAUAUUAUGAAUGCCUAGUCAGUGCGUUGAAGAAGGCCAAUUUCUGUAGCAAUAGCCCUUCCCAAAUAGCGUGUGACAAGAAGAGUUGCGGAGACGUGAUCUUCAAGAAGAUGGGAUCUCGCCUAUACAGACUACUGAUGAAGGUGACAGAACGUGAAGAGGAUAUUUUUGAGACAGAGGACCCAGACUGGAACGAGUUCCGACCUUUGGCCGGUUUUAACUAAAUGUCGGAACGUAACAGCAUGAUUACUACAACAGUGUAAUUCAACUAGAAAAUAUCUUUUCUAAUUUUUAGUCUAUGCAGACUGUUUGACACAAAACUAAUACGACUAUGCAAAUCUUUGUAUAUUUAAUUCUUUUUAAAUUUCUUUCCGAUGCCCUUUAUCUAUAAUCGUUUUUCAGAAUAAAUUAUCCCAUCCCAAAGCCUAGUUUUCAUCACAUUACCCCCAAUUGAUUUGCAAAUAUACAACAAUAUAACAAAACAUAAUGUUACAUAUGUCUCGGAUUUAGAUUGAUGUUCCAGACAGUUGUAUUUGUAAAGAAUCUAAAUACUGUUAUCAACCGGCCAGUAAUAUCACGAAGAAUAAGUUUAAAAUCAUUGAUGAAAAUACAGGCGCGUAUCUGGGCAUACGUCUAUUACGCCUGUGUGUACAUUUCAAAUUCGACACAAACUGUCAGCGAGGACACACGAACAUAUAAAGGAACACAGUGGGCACUGUACGGGCGGUGGCAACACAUUCGAGCGAUACAUCCAUGUAUAUUUUUCUUCUUUCUAAAUUAUACAUUGCUUACAAAACUGGUCAUACUGACAAUGUUUCAUUUCUGUAUAUCAUACUUAUCUUCUUUGCAGUUCACAUGAUCCUAGGCAUCUAGAUUAUUGUAACCUACAGUGUAAAAGUGAACAAGAAAAACAAGGAUGAAUAUCCAACAGGGAAAGCCAC